CGGGACACGUGGUAUCCUGUCUGAAUAUGGGGGGACCAUCCUCCAAGGCUAAAUACUCCUGACUGACCGAUAGUGAACCAGUACCGUGAGGGAAAGGCGAAAAGAACCCCGGCGAGGGGAGUGAAAAAGAACCUGAAACCGUGUACGUACAAGCAGUGGGAGCACAGAGCAAUCUGUGUGACUGCGUACCUUUUGUAUAAUGGGUCAGCGACUUAUAUUCUGUAGCAAGGUUAACCGAAUAGGGGAGCCGAAGGGAAACC
rnacentral:rRNA from 1 species